CAGCACGGGCACGGCAGCGGGGCACGCACACCACAAACUGCGCACCACUGCGGGCUGACACCACGGGCCUGCCCUACGGAAGGAUGCCGGGCUGAGGGGAAGAAUGAGAGAGUCCAGUUUAACUGAUGUAUAUCUGCUGAAACUCAAAAGUACUAGCUCGGUCAUAGAGCGAGGCAUCUUCAGACACUGCUUAUUGGACUGAAGUGGCCUUGUAAUCCACAUCUCUAUUAUUCCUGAAUGCAUCUCAAGAAAGUGCUGAACUUUACUGCUUCUAAAAGGUGGGUGACCAAGAUGCCUUCCGCAGGAGCUUGAUCAGAGCACCAAAUGUGGUCCAACAUAUCCCAGCCCUGCUGCUACUGCUACAGUUGUGCUGCAUGUUAGUGGAAGGAGCUGGGGAUCACUCAGUGAGGCAUCUGCAUGGGACAGUGUUUACCACAGCUCUCAUAGUGACAGUACCUCAGCACUUAGAUUCAAUUUUCAGUUUGUUUAACAGAGAAGUGACUUUCUCCACUUCUAAAUUACAGAUGGUAAAGCUGAAGCUGAAAACCAUACUGCGUGCUCUUACCAUGGCAAAAUUUUAGUGUACUAACUCAAAAGUGCAAGAAAAACACUCAGUUACCUGUAACUAAAUCAGACAUGACUAUGCUGGCUGUUUAUCCUCACAUGGUUGUGGCUCGUUUUUUCCAACUAAUGCCACAUUCUUGACAUUAAGUCUUUAUGCAACUUAAUUGCAAGGGAAAAGUAAACAGGAUCUUGAUAGAAAAUCACUUCCCUGAAAAGCAGCAGGAAAAAAAUAAACGAAAACUACUUUCUAUCCUAUGAACAAUGCGUUUGAUUUCUGAACAGGCAAUUGCAUUGAUAAAUGGGCUUUCAAUUAAAAAUAUGACAAAAUACUUUGGGUUGAAUAUUUUAUUUUAUAAUAAGCCUUACAUUAGGUUCAUUAAACAUUUUGUGUAUCACCCAAAUAAGUUACAUUCAUUCUGAGCUUUCAUGCAGUUUUAAAAAUGUUAGAAUUUCUCAAAAAAUAAUUUUCAAGUGAGCCGUAAUAAAGUCUGCAUAACCAAGCCAGAAUUUUUUCACAUCAAGUAAAUAUUCCAGUUUU